rnacentral:rRNA from 1 species
AUUGAACGCUGGCGGCAGGCCUAACACAUGCAAGUCGAGCGGAGCGGCGGACGGGUGAGUAAUGCCUAGGAAUCUGCCUGGUAGUGGGGGAUAACGUCCGGAAACGGGCGCUACAACUGCUAACUAUCAGUUGCGCCUAGGCCGGUUUAGCUAGUUGGUGGGGUAAAGGCCUACCAAGGCAACGACCCGUAACUGGUCUGAGAGGAUGAGCGGUCACACUGGAACUGAGACACGGUCCAGACUCCUACGGGAGGCAGCAGUGGGGAAUAUUGGACAAUGGGCGAAAGCCUGAUCCAGCCAUGCCGCGUGUGUGAAGAAGGUCUUCGGAUUGUAAAGCACUUUAAGUUGGGAGGCGUUACCAGCAGAAUAAGCACCGGCUAACUUCGUGCCAGCAGCCGCGGUAAUUC